GUCCAAUGCGACAAUGGGGGCGAAUUUCUCACCACCUCCCUCCGUGACCUCUUCUCCCACUACGGUGCUUCCUUCCGCCUCUCCUGCCCAUACACGUCCGCUCAAAAUGGCAAGGCCGAACGCCACCUACGCACCACAAACGACGUCCUACGUGUCCUCCUUCUGCACGCAAACCUGCCUCCCCAAUUCUGGGUUGAGGCUUUACAUACCGCCACCUACAUCAUCAACCGGCGUCCCUCUACCGCCAUUGCGUCUCACACACCAUUCUUUCGUCUCUUAGGUCACCACCCAACCUAUGAUCACAUGCGCGUGUUUGGCUGCCUUUGUUUCCCAAAUUCCAUCGCCACAAGCCCACACAAACUUGCCCCACGAUCCUCACGUUGUGUCUUCUUAGGAUACCCUCUGGAACACAAAGGCUAG
rnacentral:rRNA from 1 species